UGUGGUGUGGCUCAGUGAUAGAGCCCUUGCCUAUCAUUCAGGGGACCAGGUUCCAUCCCUGGCACCACAA
rnacentral:tRNA from 1 species